UACAGAGGGUGCAAGCGUUGUCCGGAAUCACUGGGCGUAAAGGGCGCGUAGGUGGCCCGACAAGUCAAUGGUGAAAGCUCGACGCUCAACGUCGAGUCGGCCACUGAUACUGUUGGGGCUGGAGCACUGUAGAGGCUCAUGGAAUUCCGGGUGUAGCGGUGGAAUGCGUAGAGAUCCGGAAGAACACCGGUGGCGAAGGCGGU
rnacentral:rRNA from 1 species